rnacentral:rRNA from 1 species
AGUGAACGCUGGCGGUAGGCCUAACACAUGCAAGUCGAACGGCAGCACAGUAAGAGCUUGCUCUUACGGGUGGCGAGUGGCGGACGGGUGAGGAAUACAACGGACUCUACUUUUUCGUGGGGGUUCACGUAGGGAAACUUACGCCAAUACCGCAUACGCCCUACGGGUGAAAGCAGGGGAUCUUCGGACCUUGCGCGAUUGAAUGAGCCGAUGUCGGAUUAGCUAGUUGGGGGGGUAAAGGCCCACCAAGGCGACGAAUCGUAGCUGGUCUGAGAGGAUGGUCGGCCACACUGGAACUGAGACAGGGUCCAUACGCCUGCGGGAGGGAGCAGAGGGGAAUGGUAGACAAUGGGGGCAAACCUUAUACAGCGAUACCGCGUGGGUGGAGGAGGCGUUCGGGUUGGAAAGCCCGUUUGUGGGGUGAGAAAAGCAGCAGGUUGAUACCCCGCGUGUGUGACGGUACCCAAUGAAUAAGCACCGGCUAACUUCGUG